UUGAUUCAUUUGUUUAAUGAUUCCACUCAGACAUGCCAAAAGUGUAAAAGAUACAAGAGUUUGGGUCCCCCGGCGGGCGCCUGGUUCCGGGAGCCGAGACCUGCGAGGAGGCCCGGUGCCCGGGGCGAAGACCCGCCGAAGCAACGGUGUAAAGGUAAAGGUUCACAUGGGGUUUGGGAGUUGUAAACUCGGUAAUGAUCCCUCCGCUGGUUCACCAACGGAGA
rnacentral:misc_RNA from 1 species